GUGGGGAAUAUUGGGCAAUGGGGGAAACCCUGACCCAGCGACGCCGCGUGAGGGAAGACGGCCUUCGGGUUGUAAACCUCUUUUGUACGGGAAGAAGGAAGUGACGGUACUGUACGAAUAAGUCCCGGCUAACUACGUGCCAGCAGCCGCGGUAAUACGUAGGGGACGAGCGUUGUCCGGAAUUACUGGGCGUAAAGGGUGCGUAGGCUGUGCUGCAAGUCAGCUGUGAAAUGUCUGGGCUUAACCCGGGCAUGCGGUUGAGACUGCAGUGCUGGAGUGCUGUAGAGGCAAGUGGAAUUCCCAGUGUAGCGGUGAAAUGCGUAGAUAUUGGGAAGAACACCGGUGGCGAAGGCGACUUGCUGGGCAGCAACUGACGCUGAGGCGCGAAAGCCAGGGGAGCAAACGGGAUUAGAAACCCGUGUAGUCC
rnacentral:rRNA from 1 species